GACGGAAAGACCCCGUGAACCUUUACUAUAGCUUUGCACUGGACUUUGAGCUUGCUUGUGUAGGAUAGGUGGGAGGCUUUGAAGUGGGGACGCCAGUUCUCAUGGAGCCAUCCUUGAAAUACCACCCUGGUUUGUUUGCGGUUCUAACCUUGGUCCGUUAUCCGGAUCGGGGACAGUGCAUGGUAGGCAGUUUGACUGGGGCGGUCUCCUCCUAAAGUGUAACGGAGGAGUACGAAGGUGCGCUCAGACCGGUCGGAAAUCGGUCGUAGAGUAUAAAGGCAAAAGCGCGCUUAACUGCGAGACCCACAAGUCGAGCAGGUACGAAAGUAGGUCUUAGUGAUCCGGUGGUUCUGUAUGGAAGGGCCAUCGC
rnacentral:rRNA from 13 species